CCAACAAUAGAGCAGCUCUCUAGCUCCGAUAUACAUAAAGCUUCACUGUUAAUAAGUACAGGCUCAUUUCCAGUUAGAGAUAUUUUCAUAUUCUGAAGUAACUGGCUAGCACAAACGGGAGUGGGGGGUUGGGGGGUAUGGCUUACAUAACACUGUCCACUAACUGGAUUCAUUGAUAUUUGUACAACAGUCCACUCAGCAACAUCAUACUAUGUAUUUUCAAGUGCGUGUAUUAUAAAUUAGAAAACAAAUCUCUUUUAAAAAAUUUGAAUGGAGGGGGCAGUGACUCAGUCAUGCCUGAAAACCUGGGUUUGCUUCCUAGAACUUCCAGGGUAGAAAGAGAGAACCAACUCCCAAAAGUUAUCCUCUGACAUGCCAUACACUAUGUGGCACACAUGUGUGUGCACGAAUAUACAUGCACCAAAUAAAAGUGGAAAUUAAUUUUUUUUAAUUUAAAAACCAUCUAAGAUACAUUCUCUUUGAAACAGAAGAACCUUCAGAUAUUUAGAAAUUAAACAGCACCUGACUCCUAAGUGAGCAACAGACUAAAUGAAAGAAACAGAAUUUGUAAAUAUUUUGAAUUGAAUAACUGUAUUAGAAUUAGAGACUCCUGUUAAGACAAUGCUUAGAGGAAAUGGUGUGGUGUUUAAUGUGUACCUUAGAGCAGGAGAAAUUUCAAAAUGAUCCAAACUCCCAAAGAAACUAGAAAAGGACAGGAGUAGUAAAGAGUAAGGUAGAAGGAUCAUGAACUCAAGGCUAGCCUGGGCUACAUAGCCCAUAGCACACUUAACACAAAGCAAGGAGAAAGAGCUGAUAAAGGCAGGAGCUUAAAAUUUAUGAACUAGUAGAUGGACAAACACAAAAUACAGAACUACAGCCUGGCUCGUGGAAAAAUGAUAGCAGUCGAUGGUGGCAGGAACGGAAGAGCAGCACCCAGAUCCUGCAGACAUUAAGGGGAAUACAGGAAUGGCAGCACCAAGUUCACAGCUCAGACGAGAAUUCCUGUUAAAGGCACACACUAACAAAUCAGUCGAGAUACCUUAAAUAGCUAUCUCCUAUUUUAAACGACACUGAUUGGUGCUAGAGAGAUGGCUCAGCACUUAGGACUACUUGUUGCUCUUGCAGAGGACCAAAGUUCAUUUCCCAGCACCCACAGAGUAACUGAAAACUAGAUACAUCUGACACCAGUGACAGAGAAUCCAAUGCCCUUUUCUCGUUUCCGUGGACACUAAGAAUGCAUGUGGUACAUAUGCAUAUAUGCAAAGCAAAACACGUAAAACAAAUAAAUAUAACAAAUCUUAGUGC
rnacentral:lncRNA from 1 species